GAUUUAAUAGUAUAAACAAUUACAUUGAAUUGUAAAUUCAAAAAUAAUAACCUUUUAAAUCA
rnacentral:tRNA from 1 species